rnacentral:rRNA from 1 species
GACGAACGCUGGCGGCGUGCCUAAUACAUGCAAGUCGAGCGGAUUCAAUUAGAGCUUGCUCUAAUUAAAUUAGCGGCGGACGGGUGAGUAACACGUGGGCAACCUGCCCUGCAGAUUGGGAUAACUCCGGGAAACCGGGGCUAACACCGAAUAACAUUGGAAACCUCAUGGUUUCCUUUUAAAAGGCGGCUUCGGCUGUCACUGCAGGGUGGGCCCGCGGCGGAUUAGCUAGUUGGUGAGGUAACGGCUCACCAAGGCGACGAUGCGUAGCCGACCUGCGAGGGUGAUCGGCCACACUGGGACUGAGACACGGCCCAGACUCCUACGGGAGGCAGCAGUAGGGAAUCUUCCGCAAUGGACGAAAGUCUGACGGAGCAACGCCGCGUGAGUGAAGAAGGUUUUCGGAUCGUAAAACUCUGUUGUCAGGGAAGAACAAGUACGGGAGUAACUGACCGUACCUUGACGGUACCUGGCCAGAAAGCCACGGCUAACUACGUGCCAGCCGCCGCGGUAAAAC